rnacentral:snoRNA from 1 species
UGAUAGUGAUGAGGACAAUUUCUAAGCAUGCCUUUAAAUCUCUCCCAAGCUUGGUAGAGAUUUUCUCUAUCUUUCUAUCUAAACUCAAGAUCUCACUUCUUAAUCG